UUCGCAAUGCCCGAAAGGGUGACGAAGCGACGCCGCGUGGGUGAGGAAGGCCUUCGGGUUGUAAAGCCCUGUCAGGAGUUAAGAAAUGCAGACUCGCUAAUACCGGGUCUAUUUGACAAAGGCUCCAAAGGAAGCCACGGCUAACUCUGUGCCAGCAGCCGCGGUAAUACAGAGGUGGCAAGCGUUGUUCGGAAUUAUUGGGCGUAAAGAGCACGUAGGUGGAUUUGUAAGUCAGAUGUGAAAGCCUUCUGUUCAACGGGAGAAUUGCAUCUGAAACUACAAACCCUGAGUUUAGGAGGGGAGAAUGGAACUUCUGGUGGAGCGGUGAAAUGCGUAGAUAUCAGAAGGAACGCCGGCGGCGAAAGCGAUUCUCUGGCCUAUUACUGACACUCAGUGUGCGAAAGCUAGGGGAGCAAACGGGAUUAGAUACCCCGGUAGUCCUAGCCGUAAACGAUGGGCACUAAGUAGAGGGGUUUU
rnacentral:rRNA from 1 species